UAGGGAAUCUUCCGCAAUGGACGCAAGUCUGACGGAGCAACGCCGCGUGAGUGAAGAAGGAUUUCGGUUCGUAAAACUCUGUUGUUAGAGAAGAACAGCGCAUAGAGUAACUGUUAUGCGUGUGACGGUAUCUAACCAGAAAGCCACGGCUAACUACGUGCCAGCAGCCGCGGUAAUACGUAGGUGGCAAGCGUUGUCCGGAUUUAUUGGGCGUAAAGCGAGCGCAGGCGGUCAAUUAAGUCUGAUGUGAAAGCCCCCGGCUCAACCGGGGAGGGUCAUUGGAAACUGGUUGACUUGAGUGCAGAAGAGGAGAGUGGAAUUCCGUGUGUAGCGGUGAAAUGCGUAGAUAUAUGGAGGAACACCAGUGGCGAAGGCGACUCUCUGGUCUGUAACUGACGCUGAGGCUCGAAGGCGUGGGUAGCAAACAGG
rnacentral:rRNA from 1 species